AGCAGCCGCGGUAAUUCCAGCUCCAAUAGCGUAUAUUAAAGUUGUUGCAGUUAAAAAGCUCGUAGUUGAAUUUUGGAUUCGGCCAAUUGGUCCAUCUUUUAGAUGAGUACUGGUUGUGUUGGGUCUAUCCGCCUGGUGAUACGUAAUGUCCUUUAUUGGGUGUUGCGGGUAGUCAGGACCUUUACCUUGAAAAAAUUAGAGUGUUUAAAGCAGGCUUAUGCCGGAAUACAUUAGCAUGGAAUAAUAGAAUAGGACGAAGUUGUUUUAUUUGUUGGUUUCUAGGACAACCGUAAUGAUUAAUAGGGAUAGUUGGGGGUAUUAGUAUUCAAUUGUCAGAGGUGAAAUUCUUGGAUUUAUUGAAGACUAACUACUGCGAAAGUAUUUGCCAAGGAUGUUUUCAUUAAUCGAGAACGAAAGUUAGGGGAUCGAAGACGAUCAGAUACUGUCGUAGUCUUAACCAUAAACUAUGCCGACUAGGGAUCGGGCGAUGUUGUUUCCAUGACUCGCUCGGCACCUUAUG
rnacentral:rRNA from 1 species